ACGGGAGGCAGCAGUGAGGAAUAUUGGUCAAUGGGCGGAAGCCUGAACCAGCCAAGUCGCGUGAAGGAUGAAGGUAUUAUGUGUUGUAAACUUCUUUAGACGUAGAGAAAUAAGGGGACUGUGAUCCCUGAUGCUAGUAUACGUAGAAUAAGGAUCGGCUAACUCCGUGCCAGCAGCCGCGGUAAUACGGAGGAUCCGAGCGUUAUCCGGAUUUAUUGGGUUUAAAGGGUGCGCAGGCGGCUUUUUAAGUCAGUGGUUAAAGCGUGGAGCUUAACUCCAUCCCGCCAUUGAUACUGGAGAGCUUGAUUGCGGUUGAGGUUGGCGGAAUUCGCCGUGUAGCGGUGAAAUGCAUAGAUAUGGCGAAGAACUCCGAUUGCGUAGGCAGCUGACCAAGCCGUAAAUGACGCUCAUGCACGAAAGUGCGGGGAUCGAACAGGAUUAGAUACCCUGGUA
rnacentral:rRNA from 1 species